GCGGGAAUAGCUCAGUUGGUAGAGCACAACCUUGCCAAGGUUGGGGUCGCGGGUUCAAGUCCCGUUUCCCGCUCCA
rnacentral:tRNA from 3 species